rnacentral:piRNA from 1 species
UAACUUCUACCACUGAAGUAUAUUCACUGA